UACGUAGGGGGCGAGCGUUGUCCGGAUUUACUGGGCGUAAAGGGCUUGUAGGCGGUCCGUUAAGUCCGAUGUGAAAUCUCCCGGCUCAACUGGGAGAGGUCAUUGGAUACUGGCGGACUAGAGGGGGGUAGAGGAAAGCAGAAUUCCUGGUGUAGCGGUGAAAUGCGUAGAUAUCAGGAGGAACACCGAUGGCGAAGGCAGGUCUCUGGGCUGAAACUGACGCUCAAGCACGAAAGCGUGGGGAGCAAACAGG
rnacentral:rRNA from 1 species